rnacentral:rRNA from 1 species
UACGUAGGGGGCAAGCGUUGUCCGGAAUCAUUGGGCGUAAAGCGCGUGUAGGCGGUUCUGUAAGUCUGCUGUGAAAGUCCAGGGCUCAACCCUGGGAUGCCGGUGGAUACUGCAGGGCUAGAGUACGGAAGAGGCGAGUGGAAUUCCCGGUGUAGCGGUGAAAUGCGCAGAUAUCAGGAAGAACACCCGUGGCGAAGGCGGCUCUCUGGGACGGUACUGACGCUGAGACGCGAAAGCGUGGGGAGCGAACAGG